GAUGAACGCUGGCGGCGUGCCUAAUACAUGCAAGUCGAGCGAACGGACGAGAAGCUUGCUUUUCUGAUGUUAGCGGCGGACGGGUGAGUAACACGUGGAUAACCUACCUAUAAGACUGGGAUAACUUCGGGAAACCGGAGCUAAUACCGGAGAAUAUUUUGAACCGCAUGGUUCAAAAGUGAAAGACGGUCUUGCUGGCACUUAUAGAGGGAUCCGAGCUGCAUUAGCUAGUUGGUAAGGUAACGGCUUACCAAGGCAACGAUGCAUAGCCGACCUGAGAGGGUGAUCGGCCACACUGGAACUGAGACACGGUCCAGACUCCUACGGGAGGCAGCAGUAGGGAAUCUUCCGCAAUGGGCGAAAGCCUGACGGAGCACCGCCGCGUGAGUGAUGAAGGUCUUCGGAUCGUAAAACUCUGUUAUUGGGGAAGAACAUAUGUGUAAGUAACUGUGCACAUCUUGACGGUACCUAAUCAGAAAGCCACGGCUAACUACGUG
rnacentral:rRNA from 1 species